rnacentral:rRNA from 1 species
GGCAAGUCUGGUGCCAGCAGCCGCGGUAAUUCCAGCUCCAAUAGCGUAUAUUAACGUUGUUGCAGUUAAAAAGCUCGUAGUUGAAAUGAAGGGUAGUUGUGUAAUGAAUACAUUCGUGUAUUUUGUUAUUCAACUACCCUCCUUCUAAAUUCGAUAUAUGAGUAUUAAUUUACUUGUAUAUGGUUUUAGACGUUUACUGUGAGAAAAUUAGAGUGUUCAAAGCAGGCAUUUGCUUGAAUAUAUUAGCAUGGAAUAAUCAUGUAUGAUUUUCAUGAUGUAUUUGAUUGGUUUGGUUCAUGAGAAUAAGAUUAAAAGGGACAGUUGGGGGUAUUCAUAUUCAAUAGUCAGAGGUGAAAUUCUCGGAUUUAUGGAAGAUGAACAAGU